AGAGCAGGAGCAGAAAUGGCGUAGCUCGGCUGCGGUGUAGUCGGACUGUGGGACGGUAAGAGGAGGAUAAAGAAAUCAACAACCUGGUUAUAAACAGCCGGGAAAUGAAGUUCAACUCGUGUGCUUUACUAUUGAAGUGAACUUUUGGACAGGAAAGAAGUCUUUCCAUGUGCUGCUAUCUGCUAAGAGAGGGAUUUCAUCAUGCCUGGGGAUAAGACUGCCAAAAAAGCAUUAGCAGAUGAAAAGUGGGUCGACGGCAUGCUGAAUCUUCAUCUCUGGCUUCCUUCAGAUCUGAUAUCCAUCAUGCCUGGGUAGGAUUUCAUGUGCCAUUUUGCCCUCACAGUUGGAGUCAUGGAGGCUGGAAUCAGUCGUGAAGUCCAAAGCAUCUUUAUUUCCUUUGUUUAUCCACCUACACUAUAGUUUAAAAAGUCAAGAUCCCUAGAUUAAUAAUGUGAAUUAUCAGUACUCAUGAUGUAAGAAAUUUGAAGGACCAAAAAUUCUCUGAUAUUUUGAAUAUGUAUACCUUGGGGGGGUGUGGGCAGGGGGUAUCACGCUCUCUAACCAGUAAUAUGUCACGUUGCACUAAAUGGCAAUAGAAAGAACAUUAACAGGUAUGUCAUUAUUCUGUUGAUCUGAAUUGAUCUAGAUUAGCUAAAUGUGUUUUAAGCUCAUUAUGGAAUCCAUAAAAGAAGUCUCACUAAAGAGAUAUAAUUUGGUUAAAGCUUUUUAAUUAUGUUCUAUAAUAUAACUAAUAUUAAUUAAGCUUAGAUAUAAAAUGAGAUGGUGUAGCACUGAGAGCUUGUGGCUGCAGCUACAUACAAAAAUUAUUAAAUAACUAGAAAAUCUAACACUAACGUUGAUCAGAUUUAUUAAUUUUCUUUAUUAUUUUUUUAUUUCACAUUUUUAGACAUUUAUUCACAGUAAAGAGACCAGAUUGUUCUCCAGAUUGAUGUUUAAUUAUAAUGUAAUUGGUGUAAUUUGGACAACUAUGUUUACAGUCAACAUUGUCUCAGCAGUUUUACAGAUACUAGGAUUAACCCCCCCCUAAUGGGCAGCCAAGGAAGGAACCAGACUUAUCAGGGACCUCCACUCUUCUUGGAUAGCCUAGAGAAUAUUGGGAAUGUACAUUUGGUUUAAUUACAUUAGCUAAUAUUUUGUACUAUCCUUAAUUAUUGUGGGCCACUGGGACCUGGUUCUGUCCAAGCACAUUUGAACAGUACUUUCCCCAGUGGACUAGCUAAUUGUCAGAUUAUUUUUUCCUCUUAACUUCUAAAGAGUCAGGAUAUAAUAAUGCAAGAUCCUAAGCAAAUAAACAGUGCAUCUGUAUAAUCCAGAUAGUAUAAAAAGUGUUAUAUUUAGUACUACCAUAUAUUCUGGACUAUAAGCUGUAUUUUUACUGCUAUACAUACUGUUUUAUGCAAAAGUUCAGACACCACUGGUAAAGUUUACAAAAUAAGUGAACACAUCAUCCACAGGAAACAAACGUCUUUGCUUUUUAGGAAAACGGUAGCUCAGCAGAAAUGUUACUGGGCUAGUAAUCAGGAGCUUGCUGGUUGCCACUAUUGGACCUUAUUUUGAGGCCCCUAACCCUUGAUUGCUUGGAUGGUAUUUUGUCACAAUUAUGUCGCAAUAAAAGCAUCCACUAAAUGCUACAUCUUAAUGCUUAGUUAUUGUUUAUUUACUAAAUGUAACAUUUUGACAACAAGUUAAACUUGGACAGGGGUGUACAUACCUUUGCAUUGUUCAGUUUUGCUUUGCUUCUAUUAAGGUUUAUACAUUAAUUUAAAUCAACUUGUUCCUGAAUUAAUGUUAAAUGGUUAAAAGCAAGAUUUUUCACUAAAUACAGUAUUGUAUAGAAUAUACAAACCCUGUUUAUAGAACCCUGUUUGGGACAUUUUGCAAAUGCGAGUAAAAAAAAGAAUCUGAGAUUUGUUCAUGCUCUUGAAUCUUUUAUUUAACAAAAGUAGAUAGAAAAGAUGUCAAAUGUUUUCACUGAUUAACUUCAUUGUAUUUUGUAAAUAUAAACACAUUUAGAAUUUCAUACCUGCAACACAUCUGAAAAAAGUUGGAACGGGCAGAAUAAGAGUUGAUAAAAUGUUCAAUUUACACGGUGGGAAAACAUUCCACAAGUGUGUGAACUGCUAACUUCCCCAGUGUGGCUAGACACAGAGUGCAUGUGCUUGACUGGCCUUGUGGAACAUUUCCCCACCAUGUAAAUUGAAUAUUCUAUAAUUUUUUUUUACCUAAUUUGCCCGUUCCAACUUUUUUCAAAUGUGUUGCAGUUGUAUCCUAGUGGUUAAGGUGUUGGACUAGUAAUCAAAAGGUCGCUUGUUCAGGCCCCACCACUGCCAGGUUACUUAUGUUGGGCCCUUAAGCAAGGCCCUUAACCCUCAAUUGCUUAGACAAUAUACUGUCACAGUUCUGCAAGUCGCUCGCCGAAGCGUCUGCUAAGUGCCAAAAAUGUAAAUGUUGCAGACCUGAAUCAAUGAAGUUGAUCAGUAAAAAUAUUCCUUUCUUUUCUAUGUGUCUGUUAAAUAAAGAUUCUAGCGAAUUAAAUAAACCACAGUUUAAAAUUUAACAAAAUGUCUUUACCCCUUUUAUGAAUUGCAUUUUGCAGUAUAGUGUGUGUGUGUGUGUGUGUGUGUGUGUGUGUGUGUGUGUGUGUGUGUGUGUGUGUGUGUGUGUGUGUGUGUGUGUGUGUGUGUGUGUGUGUGUGUGUGCCAGUCGUUUAGCUUUGACGUUGAAUGAGAUGAUUUAGAAGUGAUUAUGCUAGAUGACUGAGAGAUUAGAGAAUGGAAUGGAUCAGCGGGGUGUGUGGUUUGCACUUAAUGAUGAAUUUUGACGUCCUCGGACGCGGGGAUCGUGCAAUAUGAUAAUGGCUUUUUUGUCUUGUUUCGAGAUAAAUGUGUAUAUUGUACAAACAAGUGACGAGUUGUUCGUGCGACAAACAACAAAAUCACCAAUGUCUUCCAUUAAAUGAUGUAUAGUUUUCAUCCGCCUACUUUUGUAGCGGGAUUUUGUCGUGCCAACAUUAUAUGUGGCCAUGCAUGAGUGGAACUGAUGCUUGCAGAGUAGUUGUAGUGACAGUAUAUAAUCCUAAUGCAUAUUAGCAAAUAGCGGGUCAGGCUAGUUAGCUUUAUUUAGCUUUGAGACUAUAGGGCUUUGGGUGAAAUGGAGAAAGUGCAUUUGUUGUAUUUAUUAUGUGGUCUUUCCUUGCUUUGUCUACAUCACUUCUUCUUAUAGACAUGAUUGCUUACCUUAAACAGUCCAGAUUUAGUUUAUUGUCUGAAUUAGCUUUUCUGAAAAUAGCAUAGCAUAGCUAAAACGCAUGACCGUUGUGUUGUCUGGGUACAGUCUUCUUUUGUAAAGUGAUAAAAGACAAAAGCUGAUGCUUUGUAUUAAAAAUUAGACUUUAGACUUAGUAUUUUUUUUCUGAUUAAGUACUAAUCCCCUUAACACGAAUUAGCUAGCUAAGUUGACAAAACAUGACAAGCAAAUCGCCACCUAACUUGCUAGGUAAUUAUAGGCUUUUAAUAAGACUAAAAUAUUUAAAAAGGCUGAAAAACUCAUUUAAAUAAUAAAAGGAUUUAAUAAACAUAUUUCCCAGCUUACAUUUUGCUAACUAUCUUUACCAGCCUGACUGAUAGUGUUGGGACUUAGCUAACAUGCUGCUCCUCGGUUAGCUGUUUCUAUCAUUACUGCUUUAAUUUGGAGGAUUUAUUCAGCCAAAAUACUAAAUGCAGGAUGUAAAAAGCUUGAGUAUGUAGUAGCAAUUAAGUAGCACUGAGGCAUCUGAACUAUGUAGGAGACACAUUAUAGGUCUAGGUAACGUGUACUUAUAUACAGUACACAUUAGCAUAUAUAGCCUGAUAGUGAUCAAAAUAUUUUAAUGUAAAUAAAUACCUCAAUGACUGGAAUGCAAAGUCUAUUUUUUAGAAUCCACUUACAGAUAUGCAAGCCAUAACUGCACAUUACAUUAGAUAUUCAGUAUGAGGGUCCAACAAAAAUCUGUUGCUUUGUCAGUGUCUAGCCGUCUUUACAAAAUAAUUUCAGCGCCGCAGGUUAGUUCGGGGACUGGCAGCAUACAGCAGUUUAGGGUUUCACAACCAAUAUCUCUGACUGGGCUACCUGGGGUCAUUCUGCUUAAUAUUUCUUUCUAGUUUGGCAGGGAGGAGCAGGUUAUAUUCCAAAUCUCAGUGACAGUUCUGUCACAGUACCCAUUUUAAUUAGUGCCAUUUUGAUUUGUUGACAGUUUAAAGGGAUUGUUUAAUGUCUUUCUCACGGUGCUUGGGUGGCCUAAUGUGUUAGCCCACAACCGCUGAGAUUUUUAGCUUUCAAGCUCUCGAGUUGUACUGUCUCGGCUGUACUGUCGACCUGGUCAAACCAAAAUGAGCAUGUGGCUCUCACAGGUCAUGGCAGUAGAGGAGUUGUAAAUAAAUAACUUGAAAGACGUGUGUGUGUGAUGGGGGCUGGGUGAAUGUUCUGUGGACAGUUCUUACCAUACUGAUUGACCUUUUACUGAGAUGGAUUAUUUUCAUUUAAUGUUCAUUAAUUUCACUGCUUUUUAUCCUGGGUCAGGGGUGCAGUACAGUAACACACCCCUGACAGGAUGCCAAUCCAUCUCAGGGCCUCGUCCCCAACUCCCCCAGACAUAGCUAACCAUGUCUAUAGGACGCUUGACCAGCUAAUACAACCACUGGGGAUCUUGGCUGUACUAGGUUAGUGUACAGAUGGCCUAUGUAUCGUACAAAUUGUUGACUCUUAAGUGAGUUUUUAGGGUCAUGUGUACCCUUUGAUAGAUGCAUCUUUUUUUUUUUUUUACAUCAACUAGAUAACUAGAUCUUGCUUUAAUUUAAAAUGUGAAUAUCAGGCAGUGAAUGAGUGAAAGUAGUUUAGGGCUGAACACCAGUAUGCUGUACAACUACUGUUCCCAUUUUGACAUUGUUGGACCCUCAUGAUUUUAGAAGCAAUAAUAAUAUUAUUAUGCAUGAACUCUAGUGCCAGAAUUGUGUAUUGUAGAAUAAGUGUAGCAUACUUGUAACUGGUGUGUCCACUGCAGUGGCUGUUCAUUAUUUUUAAUGUUUAUAAUCUUAAUCAGUGUAGCAUUUUGAGAUCAGUUCUUUGCAGCAGUUCUACAUUCAUGUGUCAGUUAAACCAAAAAUAUUUCAGAAUGUAGUGAUGAGGCUGGAUAUUUCUGGCAGCAAAAAGAAAGAAAAUGCUUGAGAAUUAGCUAAUGUAGCGACGGUUCUAUAAAUACACUGCAUGAGGUUUAAUAUCGUUCAGAUCUUGUAUAGAAUUAAGCAAUAGGACAGGUGGGAUGGACAAUUUAAAAUGUUUUAAUGCAGAACUAAAACUAUUUCAUAUACCACAGAAGUUUAUCGCAUUGUUUUUCAAAUACUGUAUAUCAGUGGGGUUUUUUUUAUGGGAAUGCAGGAAAUAUAAGGUAGCCACUGCAUGGUAGAAGUUGGUACCAAAUGUGUUGUGCUGCAUGCAAUAAUAAAGCUUUGCUUGGAAAAAAUGUAGAUCUUGCAAAAUAUAAAAGACAUGAAAGGAAAAUUAAGCAAGAGGUUACGUCAGUAUUCCUUCAGUUUAAUCCUGAUUUUGUUGUUUUGCAUUUGUUCUUGAUUUGUUCUAUGGAAGAUAUGUGUAUAUAUUUUUGUUUUUAAUGUUUCACCUGUUUCAUCCCUGAAAUGGAUAAAAUGAAAUAUUAAUGACAAGUGAUUUUAUAAAUAUUUUGAUAUGUUUUAUCUGACAAGAAUUGGGUUCCGGUCUCACUGUCAAUCUAGCAACAUCAGCCUUUCUUGGGUCCCUUCACUUGGGCCCAUGUGGUGGCGCAGCGGGAUAUUCCACUAGCACACCAGCACCGAGUUUCUGAACUCCUCAGUUCUCUGUGUUGCCACCAGUCGGCUGGGCGCCAUCUAGCGGGCAUAAUUGGCAGUGCCUGCAGCAGAUACUAAUUGGACACCUGAUCUGCAGCGUGGCGGCCGGACUAUGUGUGGGUGGGAUCUUCAUACGCUGUGUAAGGACCCUGAUUGGCGGAAGAGACACCUGUGCAGAAUGCAGGGCGAGAAGAGGAGGACUGUGCACGUGUCUGCUCGGAUGCAAUCUGGUAUCUCUCAGCAGCGGAAGACAAAAUGAGCGUGCUAAAUUGGAAGGAAAAUGGGGAGAAAAUGCAUAAAAAAAAUAGAAAACACAAGAGCUCUCUGCAUUAUCAGUGGUUAAGCCAUGAUCAUUGUAAACAUGUAUAUCUGACUUACAUGUUAAGGGUAAACAGCAUGCUGUGAUGGGACGAAAACAACACUUGCAAAUAUUACCAGGAUUAUUUGAUUUUGUAAAAUUCAAAUUUCUGGAGGGACUGAAUGUCAAUUAAUUAAUCAUUAUUUAAUUAAUAAUCUACUGAAUACAUAAUUAUUGUUUAAUAUCAUACAUUUUUUUUUACAGUUUUUAUGUGCCAUUUAGCAGGAUAAAGCAUUGUAAGGAUCUGACUGGUUGUUGAUCAUAAAGUAACCAAUCAUUAUAGUAGGUUAACUAUAUUAAAAUCCAAUACAUGCGUUGUAAGGGCGUCAAUAAAUCAUGUUACAUGUGUAUACAUUAUUUUUGGUUGUAAUUUACAUGGUUACUUGUAUCACAGGUUGGGAACACUGUACGCUUGGUUAAAUCUAUGCACUACCGAUGCGCUAGCAUGCUAAAAUGAACUUAUUUUGUAAUGAAUUAAGAAAAAAAUGUAUCAAAAAAUAGCAAUAAAAACAGCAUGGUGCCAAUCUUACAAA